rnacentral:tRNA from 1 species
CGGGAUAUAGCUCAGCCUGGUAGAGCGCUAGUUUUGGGUACUAGAUGUCGUAGGUUCGAAUCCUGCUAUCCCGACCA